UUGAAAAGAACUUUGAAGAGAGAGUUCAAGAGUACGUGAAACCGUUCAGGGGUAAACCUAAGAAACCCAAAAGAUCGAACGGGGAGAUUCAUCGUCAGCGACGUUGGCUUCGCGUCGGUGGGCGAUGUCACGCGGGGCCUCGCGGCUCGCGCGCUGACACGCUGCCGUGCGUCGAUGUCCGACGUUCGUCGUCGUGCACUUCUCCCCUAGUAGAACGUCGCGACCCGCUGGGUGUCUGUCUACGGCCCGGGUGCGGUGACUGACGCGUCGCCGGUAAAACGGUACGCGUCAAACCCUCGGUCGCCCGGCCGGCUGCCCGGCGGUACACGCAAGGUAUCAGGCCGCAGAUCUCUCUCGGGAGUAUAUGCGUCGAGGCCGUCGCAAGCGCGCGCCACGGUACACGGAGGCUAACGGACCUAGCGCCGUCACCGGUCCUGGCCCGCUGUUGGUCGUACGGUUAACCUUCGACAGGCCUACAAACGUCCCCCCGCCGGGGUUCUCCUUGACGGGGGGACCGAUACCGGUCGGCGACGCUACUGCUUUGGGUACUCUUAGGACCCGUCUUGAAACACGGACCAAGGAGUCUAACAUGUACGCGAGUCAUUGGGACUAGCGAGUGAAACCUAAAGGCGUAAUGAAAGUGAAGGUCGUCCCUGGUUGUCGACCGAGGGAGGAUGGGCCGCGUCGCGACGCGGCUCCGCACUCCCGGGGCGUCUCGUUCUCAUCGCGAGAAGAGGCGCACCCAGAGCGUACACGUUGGGACCCGAAAGAUGGUGAACUAUGCCUGGUCAGGACGAAGUCAGGGGAAACCCUGAUGGAGGUCCGUAGCGAUUCUGACGUGCAAAUCGAUCGUCGGAACUGGGUAUAGGGGCGAAAGACUAAUCGAACCAUCUAGUAGCUGGUUCCCUCCGAAGUUUCCCUCAGGAUAGCUGGCACUCGGCCGUUCCGCACGGAACGCGCGCGAGUCUCAUCUGGUAAAGCGAAUGAUUAGAGGCCUUGGGGCCGAAACGACCUCAACCUAUUCUCAAACUUUAAAUGGGUGAGAUCUCUGGCUUUCUUGAACUAUGAAGCCACGAGCAUCUCGGAUCAGAGUGCCAAGUGGGCCAUUUUUGGUAAGCAGAACUGGCGCUGUGGGAUGAACCAAACGCAGAGUUAAGGCGCCCAACUCGACGCUCAUGGGACACCAUGAAAGGCGUUGGUUGCUUAAGACAGCAGGACGGUGGCCAUGGAAGUCGGAAUCCGCUAAGGAGUGUGUAACAACUCACCUGCCGAAGCAACUAGCCCUGAAAAUGGAUGGCGCUGAAGCGUCGAGCCUAUACUCUGCCGUCAGCGGCAAGUGGGGCGGUCGCGUGUACUUUUGUGUACGCGUCGCCACGAAGCCCUGACGAGUAGGAGGGUCGCGGCGGUGUGCGCAGAAGGGUCU
rnacentral:rRNA from 1 species